rnacentral:rRNA from 1 species
UGCCAGCCGCCGCGGUAAUACGGAGGGUGCAAGCGUUAAUCGGAAUUACUGGGCGUAAAGCGCGCGUAGGCGGUGAGUUAAGUCAGCUGUGAAAGCCCAGGGCUCAACCCUGGAACUGCCUUUGAUACUGGCAGCCUUGAGUUCGAGAGAGGUGAGUGGAAUUCCGAGUGUAGGAGUGAAAUCCGUAGAUAUUCGGAGGAACACCAGUGGCGAAGGCGGCUUUCUGGACCAAUACUGACGCUGAGAUGCGAAAGCGUGGGGAGCGAACAGGAUUAGAUA